AGGCUCAGUGUCUCCUGCCUCAUGUGGGUGGCCCCUCUGCAGGGUUCUCAGGCACCCAGGGAAGUGGGUGCCACAGCCUCACUGGGGCUGGCUGGGCUUUGCUCUGACAACACAGCAGUGGCUAGGCCCCUGCAGCUCUCCGGGGCUCGGUUUCCCUGUUGGCCGCACUAUGGCGUAGGCCCCGGUGUGGACACCGAUGAGCUGACCCCCCCCACAAAUGCCACUCGGCCGCUCCCCCAGGCUUCAGUGACCCAAGAGCCCUUGUGUGAAGAACCAGCUUAAAGAAUCUUGUCUUCUCAAACUCUCCAGGAAUUCCUGGUGACUGGAAGGGGAGUGACACGGGUUCUCAACCUCUAACAGGUAAGGGAGCUGCCUCCUGGGUGGGCGUGCCCAGUUCCUCAGCGGGCCUAGCGCGGCCCAGCCUCCGAGGAAGCUCCGAGCAGCUGGCUUAGCUCCGAGGUAUUUUUAGCUACAGAUCCAGCCCCUUCCAUCACCACAACAGUCGAGUCCAAAUCAAACGCGCUCCAGGCAGGUGGGACUGGGGUUCUGCCAGCCUCCUGGCCAGCAGGGGUGGGUAGGCAGACUGGGGCCAGUAUCGGCUGUUCUGCCUGGGCCCAGGCCGGGCUGGGAAAGCACACUUGUUCUCAUUUCCGGCCUCCACUUUCGUGCCAGCUUGUGCUGUCAUAAGCAGAGGUUCACAGCCCCAUUUCUUGGAUGGAAAAAGUGGACACUGAGGUCUGAGGCUUUUGAGGACAGUCAGGAGCCCCCCUUUGGGCUCGAGUGACGCACUCACCAGCUUCUGGUCCUCUUCCUCCACCACCUGGAAUGCCUUGGCUACCUCCUGUGGUCCUAGGGAACCUCAGCCCCAGCCCUGCCUCCCCAGCCAGUCACAGCUCCUCCCUGGUCACCCUGGGGACCUCAGGGCCCGGCUGGUGGCUGUGCUCCUGUCCUAUCCCCCAGUCCCAUGGAGCCUGGCAGGCAACUCCUCCAUGAUCUGAACCCCGUUACCUUGACAGCCCUGCCUGGCCUCCCCUCUCAUGGCCCAGCCACCCCAGAACCUGAAGAGGUUUUCUAGCUGCCGUGCAUUUGUCAGGCCGGGUUACCCACCCUACUUUUCCUGCCUGCCCUCCAGUGCUGCCAAGCCCAGUGUGCCAGCCAGCACUCAGCCUUCUGUAAAGGGUUCCCCUCUCCCAACCUGACCUCCUGGAAAGCUGGAGCAUAACUGCCUCUCAAUAAACGUGUUGCGAAAAAGGA